rnacentral:snoRNA from 1 species
UGUGUUGUGUGUGUGUUGUGUGUAUGUGUGUGCGUGCGUGUGUGUGUGUGUGUGUGUACACACACACACACACAUACACACACACGCACACACACACACACACACCAAUAUAUAUAUUUAUAUAUAUAUAUAUAUAUAUAAUAUAUAUAUAUAUAUAUAUAUAUAUAUAUACACACAC